UCUUGGUCAUUUAGAGGAAGUAAAAGUCGUAACAAGGUUUCCGUAGGUGAACCUGCGGAAGGAUCAUUACAGAGUUCAUGCCCUUACGGGUAGAUCUCCCACCCUUGAAUAUUAUACCUUCGUUGCUUUGGCGGGCCGCUUCGGCUGCUGGCUUCGGCUAGUGAGUGCCCGCCAGAGGACCCCAAACUCUGAAUAUUAGUGUCGUCUGAGUACUAUAUAAUAGUUAAAACUUUCAACAACGGAUCUCUUGGUUCUGGCAUCGAUGAAGAACGCAGCGAAAUGCGAUAAGUAAUGUGAAUUGCAGAAUUCAGUGAAUCAUCGAAUCUUUGAACGCACAUUGCGCCCCCUGGUAUUCCGGGGGGCAUGCCUGUUCGAGCGUCAUUAUAACCCUCAAGCUCUGCUUGGUGUUGGGGCCUGCCGUCACCGGCAGCCCCUAAAAUCAGUGGCGGUGCCUUCAGGCUCUAAGCGUAGUAAUUCUUCUCGCUAUAGGGUCCUGGUGGACGCUGGCCAGCAACCCCCAAUUUUCUAUGGUGACC
rnacentral:rRNA from 1 species